GUAUGGUCGCAAGGCUGAAACUUAAAGGAAUUGACGGAAGGGCACCACCAGGAGUGGAGCCUGCGGCUUAAUUUGACUCAACACGGGAAAACUUACCAGGUCCGGACAUAAGAAGGAUUGACAGAUUGAGAGCUCUUUCAUGAUUUUAUGGGUGGUGGUGCAUGGCCGUUCUUAGUUGGUGGAGUGAUUUGUCUGGUUGAUUCCGUUAACGAACGAGACCUCAGCCUGCUAAAUAGUUAUGCUAUUCUUGAAUAGCUUAGCUUCUUAGAGGGACUUUCCGGGUCU
rnacentral:rRNA from 1 species